rnacentral:rRNA from 1 species
GACAGAGGUCCCAAGCGUUAGGCGGAAUCACUGGGCUUAAAGCGUGUGUAGGCGGAUGCCUAAGUACCUUGUGAAAUCCCACGGCUCACCCGUGGAACUGCUUGGUAUACUGGGUGUCUUGAGCCACUUAGGGGCUACCGGAACAAAUGGUGGAGCGGUGAAAUGCGUAGAUAUCAUUGGAACGCCAACGGUGAAAACAGGUAGCUGGGAGUGUGCUGACGCUGAGACACGAAAGCCAGGGGAGCAAACGGG